rnacentral:rRNA from 1 species
CCUACGGGUGGCAGCAGUGGGGAAUAUUGGACAAUGGGCGAAAGCCUGAUCCAGCCAUGCCGCGUGUGUGAAGAAGGCCUUCGGGUUGUAAAGCACUUUCAGUGGGGAAGAAAGCCUUGGGGCUAAUACCCUCGAGGAAGGACAUCACCCACAGAAGAAGCACCGGCUAACUCCGUGCCAGCAGCCGCGGUAAUACGGAGGGUGCGAGCGUUAAUCGGAAUUACUGGGCGUAAAGCGCGCGUAGGCGGUCUGAUAAGCCGGUUGUGAAAGCCCCGGGCUCAACCUGGGAACGGCAUCCGGAACUGUCAGGCUAGGGUGCAGGAGAGGAAGGUAGAAUUCCCGGGGUAGCGGUGAAAUGCGUAGAGAUCGGGAGGAAUACCAGGGGCGAAGGCGGCCUUCUGGACUGACACUGACGCUGAGGUGCGAAAGCGUGGGUAGCAAACAGGAUUAGAUACCCCAUAGUC